rnacentral:lncRNA from 1 species
UAGAAGGUGUUUUAUCGUCUUUCUCUGCCAAAAGAUUACCCUAGAAUAGUUCUGAGGGUCUAUUUAUAAGCUAUGCAAAAUUAUAGAAUUUUGGCCCAAGCCCAACUAUAGCGCUCAAUGCUGGUUUCACCACUCAACGGUAGGUGCGACACUCUACUGAAUCGCUCAACGUUGACGCCCAAAUGUCCUGCCGUAUUGAAUUGAAGUUCUCAGCGCUCAACGGUGGCAACGAUUCUUCAUUCUUCCCUCAGCGCUAGCGCUUAAGCGUUCUACCGUAUUGAAUUCCACAAUGCUGACACUCAGCGCUGAAAUUGGCGCUGAGCGGUGGGAGCGAUUCCUCUUUUGCAUCUUUCUUCAUCCUUUCUUGAGUCCAACUCCUUCCUACUUCACUUUCCA